GUGUGUGAUGAGCAGGAGUUCUAUAAGUUCUAUCACAAGGCUUCCGUACCUCUAGAAAACAUUUGAACAAUGCAGAUGAGAUUAACAAAAGGCUGCUCAUCUACCAGAGCCAAGCUCAGGACUACCACAACUGUCUGCAAGAAUUCCAACAGCAGCUGAAUGACUUGAGUGUCUUUCCAAGGUGCCAGGGGUGCUCAUUUCUAACCUGGGAGAACAACACCCUUCAACAGCAAGGCGUCACUUUGCAGGAGAGUGAGGCGAGAAAGUCACUGGGCCCUGUUUGAAUACUUUACUAUGCACACUCCCUUCUGUCUUUUCUAGAGCAAACCACUGAUCUGAUAAGCUAAGAUUGGUGAAAGCAAUGGAGUGGAAACCAUGUCUUCAUCUAUCCACUCAUAUAUCACUCCUUAUCUCAAGGGAGUAACGAUGCAUUAUAAAGGUAUUCGAACAGGUCCAAUGAAAGCACACUGCUGCUAAGCCUCAUGCUGGUAGGACUAGGUGGGAGUCAGUCAUACUAGUGAAUUUCCUUGUGUGCAAAGGCAUUCAUGUCUGUAACAUGUCCUUUCAGAAAAAGCACAGUGGCCAGCUGAGUGUGCGUCUGAACCAUCCUGCCUUCGAGAGAGAGUUGGAGGCCUUGAAUCAUGCUGAAGACGAGAGACAAUGAGAGCUGACCUGAGCCCUAGUACCAUGCCUCAGGACUACCUGGCA